ACGUGCGUCCGGCCUCCGCAGGGCCCUGGGCGGCGGCGCGGGAUGGGGCGGCGGUCAGCCUGUCACCGCUUGGUGGCCUCGUGCGCGCACAGCUGGGGCCUGGGGAGCACGGGGUUAAAGGUUGGUGGGUGAGCAGCUGAUAUCUCAGGUUCUGAUGCCUACCUCGGGACCUUUCCCAUGGCCCAGCGCACCAUACACAUUAAAAAUGUUCAUGGAAUGAACAUGCAUCAAGUGGAGGGGAAUUUGGAUACAGACAUAUGGAGACAGGGGGAUUCUAUGUGAAGACAUAGAGACAGACAGACACAGAAGGAAGGUGGCCAUGUGGAAAUGGAGACUGAGAGUAGCACUGUGCAGCAGCAAGCCAGAAAGCACCAAGGAUUUCCACAUGCCACCAGAAGUCAGAAGAGCAUCGUGGAAUAGACUCUGCCUCUGAGCCACCGAGAAGGAACCCACCCUGCCGAUACCUUGAUUUUGGACGUCUGGCUUCCAGAACUGUGAGCAAAUACAUUUCUGUUGUUUAAGGUACUGAGUUUGUGGUGACUUAUUACUAGCAGACAAAUACAGCACUUCUUAGUCAAGCCAAGGACCAGGCUGGGUUGCAGUAUGUGGUUCCUCCUUUUAUCUCCUUUAGCCAUGGAGUUGAAUUAGUGGGUGGGUUCUAAAUUAAUAGCCGUUUUCACGGGCUAUGCCAGAAGAAAUAUACUACCUCCUUUUUCCUCCUUCAUGCCCCACCACUGCCAUUAAGUCAGGCAGAAAAAUUCUAAGCACUUAUUUUGAUGAAACAUUUCUUUGGGUCAUUCUUGUAGGUAUUAGAUUUUGCCAUUUGCUAUUCCAAGCAUUUGCUUGCUUACACACUUCCUAUCAUGGUCCGUAAAAUACUGGGUGAGUGACAUUACUCUCAUAUUUUCUAACCAAGUCUACUUGCUGCAGAAUGUAGUCAGUAUAACCAAAACAUUUUAAGGUCAAAAACAAAGAAGAUGAGGGAGCCUCCUUUUUCUCGAAUCUUUUGGCUCAGAUAAUAAGUUCCCAAAUAUGUUUUCCCAUAAAACCAUCUCUUCUAUUGUUUCUUUACUUAUUAUGAAAUGAACCUAAAAACCAACCUAUUUAAAGGCGAGAUUGAAGGAGAGUUUAGGUGACGCUUAACCAUCUUCAAACUGUUAGCACAGUUUUCCACAAUCACUGGAAAGACAAGUGUAGGAAUGAGUUGGUCAUGGAUGCCAAAAGUUAGCAAUCAAAAGCAACUCUCUUCCCAAUAACCCAUUUUAGAUAACUGAGUAACUAUGAGUGUGACAUGAUAUUCUUAUGGAGAUGAUACUCUGGUUAUAGCUCGAAUGUGUGCAAAACUUCAGGGCCAGUCUAGAAAGUUUAUAAGCUAGAACCCCCAAAGUGACUGUUGUGUGUCUGACACCCCGGCGAACAGAAACUAGAGCUACAAAUGCAGGUAUGCAAUCAUAAAAGCAUUGGGAGAAUUAUCAAGUGACGUGUUAUUUUGACAGUUAAAAAACUCAAAAUAGAAAUAACUUACACUUAGGGGUUAGGAAGUCACAUGGAUGAAGUACCACUGGGGGAGAGAAACCUUGGAACUUCUCUUGUCAAAGAUUGCUAAAUCUUUGAAAUAAGCAUUACUAAUAUUUUUGGCUAAUUCUCUUUUGACCACCAGGCAAACGCAUUUUGUUGGGGCUGUUCCUGGCUUUUACAUUCUCAUGAUCCCCAGCAGGAAAAACACACAUAAUAAAAGGGAGGUGGAGGAAUAAUAUUACCCAGGCGAUUGCCUAGGAAAAGAGCUCUUAUGCUUUAAGAGCCAAAGUAUUUUAUACACAGCUAAUGGCUGACUGACUACAUGGUGUGUGGCUCCAGGUGUGAAGUGAAAACUGUGGAACCAUUUUUUCAAAACAAAGGGGAAAAGUGUGUGUACCAAUAAACGCUUUUUUCUUUCUCCCAUGGUCUGUCUCUCUUGAGUUGUGAUGAUGUUUUAUAUUUGCUGGUUAAUGUUGUUCUAAGUAAAGGAGAAUUUAAAUUGUUAA